AGAGUUUGAUCCUGGCUCAGAUUGAACGCUGGCGGCAGGCCUAACACAUGCAAGUCGAACGGGAUCUUCGGAUCUAGUGGCGGACGGGUGAGUAACGCGUGGGAACGUACCCUUUGGUUCGGAAUAGCCCUGGGAAACUGGGAGUAAUACCGGAUACGGUCGAGAGACGAAAGAUUUAUCGCCGAAGGAUCGGCCCGCGUUGGAUUAGGUAGUUGGUGGGGUAAUGGCCUACCAAGCCGACGAUCCAUAGCUGGUUUGAGAGGAUGAUCAGCCACACUGGGACUGAGACACGGCCCAGACUCCUACGGGAGGCAGCAGUGGGGAAUCUUAGACAAUGGGGGAAACCCUGAUGCAGCAAUGCCGCGUGUGUGAAGAAGGCCUGCGGGUUGUAAAGCACUUUUAUUAGGAAAGAAAAACCCGGAGUUAAUACCUCCGGACUUGACGGUACCUAAAGAAUAAGCACCGGCU
rnacentral:rRNA from 1 species